AGUCAGAGACGCAGUCCUCAGUCCUUCAGGAUGAAUAGGAGCCCUAGCUGGUCUGAUCAACUGCAUGCAGUUCUCAAUUCAACUGAUGAAAAUAUGGCCCGGAUUAAGCAGAAUUUGUAUCCUCUUCGAGUUUCCUCUACAGGGGACCUGGCUGACACCUGGAUUUCCCCUCAUCAUUUGCCUCCACAGCCAGGGGCCCAAGCUCAUCAGCCUUGGGCUCUAAAGACUCCUGUUCUUGGAGAGAGACUGAGCUGCGCUGAAUCUCACAGCUCAUCUCUCUGGAAUGAAGUUACUAAGCUCCGAUCCCAGCUUCAGUCUCAGGCUCAGGUGACUGCGGCGCUAAGGGGUGCUGUGCAGAGCCUGUUGAAGGAUCGGGAGCAGCAGAUGAAGAAGAUCAGUGCUCUAGAAGCAUCACUAAAAUUGCUUCAGGAGGGCCCAAAAGGGAGAGCCCUUCUGGAGCAACGCCUGGAAGGGUUGAGAAAGGAACUGCAGGGCCUUCGGAACCAGGUUCAAGAGCUAGUCCAAACCCAAACGAGAACAAGACCAGGGAAGUUCAGUAGUACCAAUGGCUUUCACCAAGAGCUGCAGACUGAGCACCAACUUUUGUGGGAAGAGUCAGAGAUUCUUCGGGAGGAACUGAAGUUGCUUCGAGACCAGCUGAGCCAACAUCAGGAGUUGUUGCUGGAACAGAUAGCUGAAGGGCGCCAGGUUCAAGCCCGCAGCUGGAAGACGUUGGAACACCUACAGAGUGACCAGAAGGGCAAGUUUCAGACCUUGGAGGUUACCAGGACAGAGGCCCCUGAUGCCCAGAAGGAGGAGCCCUACUUCCUCAGGACGUCUGUUGAUGCCUGGCAAUCUAAGCUGCCUAUGGCCAACAUCUUCGCCAUGUCUCUUUCUUCAUCUAGCUCUGAAGUCAGUCUUCCAGACUGUGACCAUAGCUGGGAACUUUUAAAGAAACUAGACAGGGAACUCCCUAACUCCUUUUCUAACCUGGAACCCAGCAGCUGUCAGUCCCAUGCCCAGAGUCUUGGGCAAGAGGAUCUGUUCUUUCAAGGCUCCAAGAUCUUCCAGAGUGAGCUGUAAGGACUUGUAAGAAGAAUGAGAUGAAUCCAUCAAGGCAGUCUUCUCAUCCCCUCUGGAUCCCCUAAAGAUGCCUUCACCCUCAGACAACAGGACGUAAAUUUAAGAACAAAAUGCCCACAUUCCCAAGAGGUGUGGUGGGUGGUUUUUGGUCGUUCAAUGGAUUAUGGAUAUUUGUCAUUGUUUAUGGUGGUUGAUUACAAGUUGUUAUUGGUAAUGGUCAGGAAAAAAGCUAAACAAAGAAGAUUAGAUUCAGGGUUCUUGUUUUGAAAAGAAAAAAAAAGGGGAUAUAGAUAUGAUAAGAUAAAAGGUAGAUUAUUGAAUCUACUCUGAAAAAAAUAGAUAUAGAAAUGAUAGGAUAGAUAAAAGGGUAGAUUGUUGAAUCUACCCUGAAGAGAAAAAAUAGGAAUAUAGAUGUAAGAUAAAAAGUUAGAUUAUUGAAUCUUCUUUAAAAAUGCAUCUACUAGUUUUAAAUAUUUUAUAUUGGAUUGGAUUGUUGUAUAGUAUAUACAGAUUUUAUAUAUUGAUACAAAUUUGAGAUUAAUUUUGUUAGAACAUACUGUACAUACACUUCUAAUCUUGUUCAAGGUAUUAUACCUCAUUUAACAAUGUAAUACAAAUUACUAGUUCUUGAAAGUUAUUAUUACCAACUAAUUAGGAUAUAAAGAAGUGCAAGUUAGUAGUUAGUCAUUACAAUUAAACUUGUAAUCAUAUUAGGUAUGUUUUCAAUGUCAAACAGUUAUUUUAGAUAGACAGGUUGUCUUCAAACACUUCAGAGAUCUACAGAAUAUGGCAUUUAAAAUGUUUUAAUAACAUAGAUUUUUUUUUUUUUUUUUGAGACAGGGUUUCUCUGUGUUGUUUUGGUGCUUGUCCUGGAGCUUGCUCUGUAGACCAGGCUGGCCUCGAACUCACAGAGAUCCUCAUGGCUCUGCCUCCUGAGUGCUGGGAUUAAAGGCAUGUGCCAUCACCGCCCGGCAGAUUCUUUUUUUUAUGACAAUGAGGCAUGUCUGCUCCUGGCAGCACCAAUCUACUUCAAAGAAGUUGAUGGACAUCAAAGAAACUCCAUAUGGAGUUUACUUUCUUUGUGGCAAAAGUUAACCACUGGAGAAGAAAAUGCCCUUGUCUUGACUGCUAAUAGUAUGCUGUCCAAAAUGGUCAAGGACACAAAAUAAAAGACUGCUGAACUUUGCCAAGACAAGGUAGGACAGCCUUUCAGAAAAUCCUGCUUCAUAGAUAAAUCUGUCAGAUAUGCUAGGCCUGUAAGUAGACAAUGGAUGCCCCAAUGCUGCAGAGGAACCAGCUGUUUCUGUUAUUUCUCACACUUUUUGGAAGUUGCUUGCUUGCACUACCUGCUUACUCAGGUAAUAUUUCCUUCUUGGGUCUCUGAUGGAGUUGAAGACUAGAUAGUUAUAAUUUUUCCUUUUUAACAAAUUCAGAAAAGAAACUCACUAAAAAGAUGUAAAGUGUGUAAGUUCAAGAGACAUCAAAAGAUAGUUUUCAGUUGUUAAUACAAGUUAGAUAGAAAGUGAAUUAGGUACAAUCUUUUGGACUCACCAAGAUAGGAUAAAUAAUAGAAUAUUUUCUCUGAAUUUGUCAAAUGUUAGUGGACUGCAUAUUUUUAAUGUAAUUCUUGACUGUAUAUAUUAUGUAUAGUUAUUAUAUUUAUUGUAUAUAGUUUUUCUUUAAUAUUAGACAAAAAAGGGGAAAUGUGGUGAUAUUUUGUUUGUACUGUAACCAAUAAAGCUUGUCUGAUUAUCAGAGGGCAGAGCCAGCCACAGAGUUAGCCAUAGAGGUCAGGCAGUGGUGGCACACACCUUUAAUCCCAGCACUUGGGAUCUCAUGCCUUUGCUCCCAGUGUCUGGGAAGCACACACACCUUUAAUCCCAGCACUAGGAAGGCUGAGACAGGAAGUGACAUGGCUGGGUGGAGAAAGGCAUGUAAGGCAGGAGGAAACUGGAACUCAGCCCUGUCGGCUGAGGACUCGGGCAUUCAGUCUGAGGAUUCAUGGAGACAGGGUCUUCCCCUUUCUGCUGAGGAGUUGGCCAGGUGAGAAGUGGCUGUGGCUUGUUUCCUCUGAUCUUUCAGCAUUUACCCCGA